rnacentral:tRNA from 2 species
GCGCCCUUAGCUCAAUUGGAUAGAGCAUCUGACUACGGAUCAGAAGGUUAGGGGUUCGAAUCCCUUAGGGCGUGCCA